rnacentral:rRNA from 1 species
CUAUAGCUGAUCUGAGAGGAUGAUCAGCCACACUGGAACUGAGAUACGGUCCAGACUCCUACGGGAGGCAGCAGUGGGGAAUAUUGGACAAUGGGCGAAAGCCUGAUCCAGCCAUGCCGCAUGAGUGAAGAAGGCCUUCGGGUUGUAAAGCUCUUUUAGUGAGAAAGAUAAUGACGGUACUCACAGAAGAAGUCCUGGCUAACUCCGUGCCAGCAGCCGCGGUAAUACGGAGAGGGCUAGCGUUAUCCGGAAUUAUUGGGCGUAAAGAGCGCGUAGGCUGAUUAGUAAGUUAAAAGUGAAAUCCCAGAGCUUAACUUUGGAAUUGCUUUUAAAACUGCUAAUCUAGAGAUUGAAAGAGGAUAGAGGAAUUCCUAGUGUAGAGGUGAAAUUCGUAAAUAUUAGGAGGAACACCAGUGGCGAAGGCGUCUAUCUGGUUCAAAUCUGACGCUGAGGCGCGAAGGCGUGGGGAGCAAACAGGAUUAGAUACCCUGGUAGUCCACGCUGUAAACGAUGAAUGUUAAAUAUGGGAAGUUUACUUUCUGUAUUACAGCUAACGCGUUAAACAUUCCGCCUGGGGACUACGGUCGCAAGAUUAAAACUCAAAGGAAUUGACGGGGACCCGCACAAGUGGUGGAGCAUGUGGUUUAAUUCGAUGCAACGCGAAAAACCUUACCACUCCUUGACAUGGAAAUCAUACCUAUUUGAAGGAAUAGGGUCGGUUCGGCCGGAUUUCACACAGGUGUUGCAUGGCUGUCGUCAGCUCGUGUCGUGAGAUGUUGGGUUAAGUCCCGCAACGAGCGCAACCCUCAUCCUUAGUUACCAUCAGGUUAUGCUGGGGACUUUAAGGAAACUGCCAGUGAUAAACUGGAGGAAGGUGGGGAUGAUGUCAAGUCAUCAUGGCCCUUAUGGAGUGGGCUGCACACGUGCUACAAUGGUGAUUACAAUGGGCUGCAAAGUCGUAAGGCUGAGCUAAUCCUAAAAAAUCAUCUCAGUUCGGAUUGUUCUCUGCAACUCGAGAGCAUGAAGUUGGAAUCGCUAGUAAUCGUGGAUCAGCAUGCCACGGUGAAUACGUUCUCGGGUCUUGUACACACUGCCCGUCACGCCAUGGGAAUUGGUUUCACUCGAAGCU